UACGUAGGGAGCGAGCGUUGUCCGGAAUUACUGGGCGUAAAGGGCGCGUAGGCGGCGAUGCAAGUCGCAUGUGAAAUCCCCAGGCUUAACUUGGGGGGUGCAUACGAAACUGCAUGGCUUGAGUAUGGCAGAGGAAAGUGGAAUUCCUAGUGUAGCGGUGAAAUGCGUAGAUAUUAGGAGGAACACCAGUGGCGAAGGCGACUUUCUGGGCCACAACUGACGCUGAGGCGCGAAAGCGUGGGGAGCAAACAGG
rnacentral:rRNA from 1 species